AACGGCCGCGGUAUCCUGACCGUGUGAAGGUAGCGUAAUCACUUGUCUUUUAAAUGAAGACCCGUAUGAAUGGCUUAACGAAGGCUUAACUGUCUCAUUCUUUCGGUCAAUGAAAUUGAUUUUCCCGUGCAGAAGCGGGAAUAAAACCAUAAGACGAAAAGACCCUGUGGAGCUUUAGAUCAUAAUAGCAUAAUUACAAUAUUUUACUCUAUUUACAUCUUCGGUUGGGGCGACCACGGAAAAAAUCUAACUUCCACUAGGUAAAUACAUAUUUUAUAGUUAAGAAUGACACCUCAAAACUUUAGAACUUCUAACCCUUGAUCCGGUUCACCGAUUAACGAAACAAGUUACCCCAGGGAUAACAGCGCAAUCUCCUUUUAGAGUCCAUAUCGACAAGGAGGCUUACGACCUCGAUGUUGGAUCAGGCAUCCUAAU
rnacentral:rRNA from 1 species